AGUGACUGUAUCUAGUAUAUGUAUACACAGCAUUUUGACACUGGAGCACUGGGCCACUUUGUUGGAAACAAUUGGGAAAGGACGUGCCUUGCUCAGGGGCACGAAUGAUGCUCGUUCUCUCCCACGUAUCACAUUACUGUAUGUUUGCUCAGAGAAUUGAGUCCUUCAAUCACAGCGCACAUUGUCAACCAGUUUUCCACGCCUGUCUCUACUUGCUAUAUACGUUGUUGCUAUAAUUUACGACUCUUAUUUAUUUCAAUCGAAGGUGGUUUUCCCUCAAAAUGUGUUUUUUUUUUUUGGUCAGUCAUUUUGAAUAUAAUGUAAACAUCUCCUCAAAGAUAAUCGUCAAAUGCUGUGUGUAAGCGAGGCAGUGCACCUAUAAAAUCAGACAGUUGGCUCCUCGAGAACUGUACACAACAUAUAGAUGAUUAACCUCGGGGUUUGUUCUCUCAGUCCAGCCCAAGCUUGUUCGAGCGGAGUUUCACAGCAUACUCGAGUCUUAACCCUCCCCCUUUCCCCCUUAAUGCACUUAAUGGAAUAUCUCGAACAGAGAGACAAAAGCUCAGCAAAAGAAAGGUGUUGCAACCCACCACAGCAGCUGCAGUGAGCAAGUGUGUGCGUUGUCAUGCACGUGGCCUUUUUAUGUGUCUGUUUUGCGCUCAAAUGAGAAACUCCAACUGCUCCAACCAUCUCUGGCUUGUCUUUCCUCUUUUGCAAUUAAAGCUUAAAUAUUCUGAUCGUGUACUGGUUCAAUUCACCUGACAUUUGUGCGCAAAGAUGAUCGUGGUUGUUCCACCCAAACACUGGCGGAGCUAGGAUUUUUUUUUCUUUCCUUGUGGGGGCCGUGGGGUGGCCGAGAAUAUCUCGGAGUCUGCAAAACAUUUUUUUUUCUUUUUACAAACCCGUCAAAUUCUUCUGAAAAUGCUGAUUAACAUUCAUUAAAUGUUCCCCAGGGGAGGAAAUGUGAAAAAUACUCCAGGAAAAAUGGGAAAAUACCCAUAGGAUCAUCAGGAGCGGUGCUGCCUGGUACUUACAUGUUUCUCACUCGCUGUCUUCCACUGUGUAUAUACACGUGGAUUACUUUAAGUAAACGUCAGGCCUUUACUUUGAAUAGGCAGCAGAGAUACUCGCAGCUAAUAUUUUGCUUAUCUUGGGCUACUCCAGCCAAUCGCACUCUGCGUGCGAGAGGCAUUGGAAAAGCAACAGGCCAUUCAUUUAUCACGGCCAGGCUCCAUUGUGCCUGUGUGCGUGAGCUUGCUCACAUUACAAUAGCCCUAAACUAUGUGUGACCCUGUCUCAUUUCCUAGCAUUUAACUUUUUGUUUUUUGGGAGCGUUGAAGUCGUACUCUCUGGAGCUCCAGCGCCUCAGGGUGUGGGACUCGAGCAGUUAUGAAAUAUUUAGUUAGGGAUGUCAUGAUUACCAGAGUCCUAAUCACUUUUAGUUUUACGCAAAAGUCGCUGUGGCAUCCUCGUCGCUCUGCUCUCCAAGUUAGGACAGUUCUAGUUCUACUUUGUACGUUAAAGCUCAAUGCCAACAACCUUUACGGACUCGUCUUGUCCCUUCCCCCUAGAAAUGCGUGAUCAAAAAAACCAAGACGUUUCCGAAUUCUGCGUUAAUUUAGCGAAAAGAAACAGGAAACACGUACAUAGUAUUCAUUGAUUUUCAUUGUAAUGACACUCGUGGUUGGAUUAGAUGUUCCAUAAGUCUGAGUUGUUGGUAAAUGCUCACUAUUGAGUUAGCCUAAAAUAGUCUGCUUACGGCACAAUCAGCACGUGGCUCCAAGUGUCGCGAGUCUGACACAUUCCCAAACCCGGGGGAUUAUUUUAACCCUUUCACUUGUCUCUCUAAAAGGGUAGGAGAAAGGGUGGUUUAGUGCCAUCUAGUGGUGAAUUUACAACUUUGAAGUGCGUGCACACCGAGAGCGCACGCCGCCAACCGAGCAGCAAUUUCUUCAGCAGAUGUACAAGCAAAAUGUCAUCACAGAUGACUUCUAGUAUUCCCUCAAGUGACAAAGUUCAUUUCUUACACAUUCUGUAGUCCAGCAAGUGGUGAUCUGGUAAUUGUCUCCUUCGGGUAUCCGUAGCAGAAAGAUGGCGGUCAGGUCAGACAUGUUAGCGUCCUGCAAGAUGAAGCGAUCACUAGAUUUAGGAUUACAUGGAAAAAAAAAAGUAAUGUCAUAGAACAUAUUUUUUGCAUGUUACGGAAAUUAAGAGUGUGUUUUUAGAAUGAACAUUGAAAAAUCAAAACAUUCUAUACACUGCCACUUUAAGGUAUAUUAUGCAUUGAGUAACGAAACUGUCUUGUUAAAGUCACAAAUGUGGCGCUCAACUGCCCCCCCCCCC